GACGAACGCUGGCGGCGUGCUUAACACAUGCAAGUCGAACGGUAAGGCCCUUCGGGGUACACGAGUGGCGAACGGGUGAGUAACACGUGGGUGAUCUGCCCUGCACUUUGGGAUAAGCCUGGGAAACUGGUUCUAAUACCGGCUAGGACCAUGCGCUUCCCGGUGGGUGGGGGAAAGCGUUUGCGGUGUGGGAUGGGCCCGCGGCCUAUCAGCUUGUUGGUGGGGUAAUGGCCUACCAAGGCGACGACGGGUAGCCGGCCUGAGAGGGUGACCGGCCACACUGGGACUGAGAUACGGCCCAGACUCCUACGGGAGGCAGCAGUGGGGAAUAUUGCACAAUGGGCGCAAGCCUGAUGCAGCGACGCCGCGUGAGGGAUGACGGCCUUCGGGUUGUAAACCUCUUUCAGUAGGGACGAAGCGCAAGUGACGGUACCUACAGAAGAAGGACCGGCCAACUACGUGCCAGCCGCCGCGGUAA
rnacentral:rRNA from 1 species